UGCCAGCCGCCGCGGUAAUACGAAGGGUGCUAGCGUUGUUCGGAAUUACUGGGCGUAAAGCGCGUGCAGGUGGAUAGAUAAGUUACUCAUGAAAGCUCCCGGCUAAACUGGGAGAGGUUGAGUGAUACUGUUUAUCUAGAGUGGAUGAGAGGUAAGUAGAAUUCCUUGUGUAGUGGUGAAAUGCGUAGAUAUAAGGAAGAAUACCAGUGGCGAAGGCGACUUACUGGCAUCCAACUGACACUCAGACGCGAAAGCAUGGGUAGCGAACGGGAUUAGAUA
rnacentral:rRNA from 1 species